rnacentral:rRNA from 1 species
GACGAACGCUAGCGGCGUGCCUAAGGUAUGCAAGUCGAACGGGAGUAGGGGCAACCCUGCUCUAGUGGCGAACGGUCGAGGAACACGUAGACAACCUGCCCGAGAGUGGGGGAUAACAGCUCGAAAGGGCUGCUAAUACCGCAUGUGGCGAGAGGGUGAUGCCCUCUUUGCUAAAGGGAAGCGCAAGCUUUACCGCUCUGGGAUGGGUCUGCGGCCUAUCAGCUAGUUGGCGAGGUAACGGCUCACCAAGGCGACGACGGGUAGCUGGUCUGAGAGGAUGAUCAGCCGGACGGGGACUGAGACACGGCCCCGACUCCUUCGGGAGGCAGCAAUGGAGGGAUAUUGCACAAUGGGCGAAAGCCUGAUGCAGCGACGCCGCGUGGGU